CUGGAAACCAAGUCACUAACGCAUGGGCCUUUGGGGGCUAUCCAAGUUAUAAACUACAGCAUGGAGACUGCAGUUCAGCAGGACUCAGGAGCCUGUAUGUCUGCCUGACCCAUGACCAGGACACCCCUGCUUACUGU
rnacentral:lncRNA from 1 species